AUGAGAUGAAAUCAGCGUUUGGACAUGCGAUUCACGCUGAUUCCAUAUCAUGA
rnacentral:pre_miRNA from 1 species